UACGGAGGGUGCAAGCGCUAAUGCGGAAUUACUGAGCCGUAAAGCGAGUGUAGGCGGAUUCGUAAGUCGGAUGUGAAAGACCUGGGCUUAACCUGGGAAUUGCAUUCGAUACUGGGCGCCUAGAGUCUGAUAGAGGGAAGUGUAAUUCCAGGUGUAGCGGAGAAGUGCGUACAUAUCUGGAGGAACACCGGUGACGAAAGCGGCUUCCUGGAUCAAGACUGACGGUGAGGCUCGAAAGCGUGAGAAGCACACAGGAUUAGAUACCCUGGUAGUCCACGCCCUAAACGAUGUCAACUAUACGUUGGCCCCAUUAAAGGGGUUAGUGACGAAGCUAACGCGUUAAGUUGACCGCCUGGCGAGUACGGCCGCAAGGUUGACACUCAAAGGAAUUGACGGGGCCCGCACAAGCGGUGGAGCAUGUGGUUUAAUUCGAUGCAACGCGAAGAACCUUCCCAGCCCUUGACAUCCUCGGAUCUUUGUAGAGAUACAUUGGUGCCUUCGGGAAUCGAGUGACAGGUGGUGCAUGGCUGUCGUCAGCUCGUGACGUGAGAUGUUGGGUUAAGUCCCGCAACGAGCGCAACCCUUGUCCCUAGUUCCCAGCACUUCGGGUGGGAACUCUAGGGAGACUGCCGGUGAUAAACCGGAGGAAGGUGGGGAUGACGUCAAGUCAUCAUGGCCCUUUAUGGGCAUGGGCUACACACGCGCUACAAUGGUCGGUACAGAGGGCCGCUAUCCCGCGAGGGGGAGCCACUCCCACAAAGCCGAUUUUAGUCCGGAUCGCAGUGUGCAACUCGACUGCGUGAAGUCGGAAUCGCUAGUAAUCGCGAAUCAGCAAUGUCGCGGUGAAUUCGCUCCCGGGCCU
rnacentral:rRNA from 1 species